CUGGUUCAAGGGCAUCCAAGCAAGUCCAACCACUGAACAAAUCUGUUUGGAAUGUAGAUUCAGCCGGAUCAUCUAGCACUUUGAUGGAGAGUGGACAUGUGCCAGUAUUGAGAAAUACAUUUGAAAAGUCUCUUCCAAGUUCUGUUGGCAAUUUAAUGUAUGCCACUGAAGUAUCCAAUGUAGGAAGGAAUGAAAAUUUAAUUGAAGACUGGGAUCUUAUUGAGCACCCUCCUUUUCCUCCUCCUCCAUCACAUACAGAAGAUGUUGAACAUUGGACCCGAG
rnacentral:misc_RNA from 1 species